UGGGAACCAGCUUCCUGCCAAGUGUUUGGAAGGGCAUGCCCACUUUCCACUUCUGGCUAGAUAUGAAAGUGAAAGUUUCUGAAAGUGAUCCUUGCUGGCUGGGAUCUGAAGCACCUGUCAGGAGGAAGAACAGAUCAGCCCUAACUCGAGGGUGCUCCCCAGUGGCUGUGAACCAGCUACGGGUCCCUUGCAGGGCGAGGCAAGAAGUGUGAGUAAAGCCACAGGUUCAAAAAGGUCCUGAGAAGUCCUGCAAAGAAAUGUCUCAAAAUUGGGUAAACCCUGCAUUCCAAACUGACUUCAUCAUGGAACCUCCUUCCAAAUAAUACUUUCAAGCCUUUUGAAGAACUGCUUUUUAAAAAAUUGCUAUUAUUAUUUUUUCUCUCCUCUCCUUCCCUGAAGAACUACUUUUUAUAAAGAACACAUUUUGGGAAAUGGUGGUCUAAUGAAACAGGUCAUGAAAACUGGAUAACCCCAGGAUUUUCUCAAGAAUCUACUCUCUCAUUCACGAUGUUCUGUGGAAGCUAAACUGGGUGGUAUAAGGCUCUAUUUGGCUUUUUCUUUUUCUGUUCUUCAGUCUGUAACAAUAACUCCCCGUGGGUUAAUGUUGGCAUCUAAAAGAAAAGAAAAAUAUGCACAUUAAGUCUCAUGAGGCUACCCAGUAUGUCUGUUCCUCAGGAAAGGGUCACAGCUGGUCGCAGUGGGAGAUUGUCCUUGCAGUUCCCAUCAGUAUCUUUUAACCAAUGUUGAGAUCACAUUUCUUCUCUUUCUGUUUCCCUUCCUGCUACACCCCAGGCCAUCAGCUCUCAUGCCCUGUGUUUUUCCCCACAUUAUACAGAACCACAAGUGUUUAUCAAAAGCUGUCCUUUCCGUGUUCUGUAUUAUGUACAAAGGCUAAAAAUUUGACAGAGUACAACUAAAUAAAUGGAAAUGUAAAAGCCUCA